CUUGGCCUUCAGUUCACGUGCAGCAAGAGGGGGAGCUCCUCGCAGAACACUGACGUCUCGUGCCCUUUGCAUCUCUGCAAUGCUGUCACACUACAUGCAGUGCAUAAAGAGAGGCUUUAUCACUUUGCUGGCAGGCACAGAGCCACUUACUUAUGGUGAGCCACAGCUCUGCUGGACAGCACAACAAGAGUGAAGAUGGCAAAGGCAGCACUGUGGAUCGAGUGAGCAGCAAUAGCAAACCCGGUCCAUUCUACAACCUCACCCAAGAAGUUUGCUCCUGACACAAACUUAAACAUGCCUCCUGUAAAAAUAAAACCUAAUGAACUCAUCCAGGUUGAGAACAAAAAAGAGGGU